rnacentral:rRNA from 1 species
GACGAACGCUGGCGGCGUGCCUAAUACAUGUAAGUCGAACGCAGUGGCGGACGGGUGAGUAACACGUGGGUAACUACCCAUCAGAGGGGGAUAACUAUUGGAAACGAUAGCUAAUACCGCAUACUAGUAAAUGGACCUGCGUUGUAUUAGCUAGUAGGUAUGGUAAUGGCCUAACUAGGCAACGAUACAUAGCCGACCUGAGAUGGGGAUCCGCCACACGGGGACGGAGACACGGCCCAGACUCCUACGGGAGGCAGCAGUAGGGAAGCUUCGGCAAUUGGGGGAACCCUGACCGAGCAACGCCGCGUGAGUGAAGAAGGUUUUCGGAUCGUAAAGCUCUGUUGUUAAGGAAGCGGUACUUAACCAGAAAGGGACGGCUAACUACGUGCCAGCAGCCGCGGUAAUUC